rnacentral:SRP_RNA from 1 species
GCUAGGUGUGGUAACAUGUAUAGCUAAUCCCUGCUACUGGGAGGUGAAGGCUGGUGGAUUAGAUGAGCUCAGGAGUUCUGAGCUGCAAUGGGCUGAGUUGAUUGGAUGUCCACAUUAACUCUGGCACCAAUAUAGUGAGUUCCGGGGAUCAGGGGCCACUGGGCUGCCUCAGGAGAGGCAAACCUGCCCAGGUUGAAAACUUAGAAGAUCAAAGCUCCUAUGCAGACCAUUGUGGGAGAUCAGAGCUACAACCCUUGAGUGGUUGUUGCAUUUUCAGCCUGGGCAAGAUGGAAAACCUGGA